GAUGAACGCUGGCGGCGUGCCUAAUACAUGCAAGUCGUGCGAACGGACGAGAAGCUUGCUUUUCUGAUGUUAGCGGCAGACGGGUGAGUAACACGUGGAUAACCUACCUAUAAGACUGGGAUAACUUCGGGAAACCGGAGCUAAUACCGGAUAAUAUUUUGAACCGCAUGGUUCAAAAGUGAAAGACGGUCUUGCUGUCACUUAUAGAUGGAUCCGCGCUGCAUUAGCUAGUUGGUAAGGUAACGGCUUACCAAGGCAACGAUGCAUAGCCGACCUGAGAGGGUGAUCGGCCACACUGGAACUGAGACACGGUCCAGACUCCUACGGGAGGCAGCAGUAGGGAAUCUUCCGCAAUGGGCGAAAGCCUGACGGAGCAACGCCGCGUGAGUGAUGAAGGUCUUCGGAUCGUAAAACUCUGUUAUUAGGGAAGAACAUAUGUGUAAGUAACUGUGCACAUCUUGACGGUACCUAAUCAGAAAGCCACGGCUAACUACGUG
rnacentral:rRNA from 1 species